rnacentral:rRNA from 1 species
CCUACGGGUGGCUGCAGUGAGGAAUAUUGGUCAAUGGACGAAAGUCUGAACCAGCCAAGUAGCGUGAAGGAUGACUGCCCUAUGGGUUGUAAACUUCUUUUAUAUGGGAAUAAAGUGUUCCACGUGUGGGAUUUUGUAUGUACCCUAUGAAUAAGGAUCGGCUAACUCCGUGCCAGCAGCCGCGGUAAUACGGAGGGUCCGGGCGUUAUCCGGAUUUAUUGGGUUUAAAGGGAGCGUAGGUGGGUUGUUAAGUCAGUCGUGAAAGUUUGCGGCUCAACCGUGAGAGUGCAGUUGAAACUGGCAGUCUUGAGUACAGGAGAGGCAGGCGGAAUUCGUGGUGUAGCGGUGAAAUGCUUAGAUAUCACGAAGAACUCCGAUUGCGAAGGCAG